rnacentral:misc_RNA from 1 species
UCUCCGUUGGUGAACCAGCGGAGGGAUCAUUAUAGAGUUUUCUAAACUCCCAACCCUUUGUCGAACUUACCUUGUUGCCUCGGGGCGCGCCUUCGCGGACGGCCCCAGAGGACCAACCAUCAAAACCCUGCGUCCCUGCGUCGGAGUACCUUUGAUAAAUCAAUCAAAACUUUCAACAACGGAUCUCUUGGUUCUGGCAUCGAUGAAGAACGCAGC